UUAAAUUGAAGAGUUUGAUCAUGGCUCAGAUUGAACGCUGGCGGCAGGCCUAACACAUGCAAGUCGAACGGUAACAGGAAGCAGCUUGCUGCUUUGCUGACGAGUGGCGGACGGGUGAGUAAUGUCUGGGAAACUGCCUGAUGGAGGGGGAUAACUACUGGAAACGGUGGCUAAUACCGCAUAAUGUCGCAAGACCAAAGAGGGGGACCUUCGGGC
rnacentral:rRNA from 1 species